GAACAAAAGAUUAUUUCGAAUUCGCGAAUUACAAAGAGAAGAUCUUCCUAUAGUCAGAAAAAUUGUGAGAAAUGGAUUGUAUGGACGUUUUUACGCGGGGUUGAAAAUACUAUUCUGGAAAAAUCGGAAUGUUCUGGUCAUUAUGACUAUGAUUACCACUAUGUUUACGGCAAUAUUUGACGGAAACAUCAUAAUUUCUUCGAUAACUGAAUUACUCUUUGUGAUUAUUGCAAGUAUUUUGCAAUUUUUCAACACAGUCGAAAGUCAGAUAAAUGAUCUCAACGAUUUUGAUGAAAUCAAAAACACAUACCCGAGAUUUUGGGUGAUAGAAUUUAUAGAAAAUUAUGAUACGUUUAUAGUCGGGACAGUUGCUUUGAAAACUCAAGAAGACGUUACUAAUCGACAACCAAUAUCCACUAUCAAA